rnacentral:lncRNA from 1 species
GAAAAGCCUGAAAUAGUAAGGUAAAUCUCCAAACUGUAGAAUUUAGAGCCAUGCAGUUUCAUGAGCUUAUCAGGAAAGUAAAAAUUAUGAAGAGAUUUUUAUGGACCCAUUUCUCAGGUCCACCUUUACUGUGCCUUGAAGUGUGGAGUGGAAAGUCCACCCAUGAACUAGAUUAAUUGUACUGACUGUAAUAUUCAAUUACUCAUAUAUGUUCAUCUUAUGGUAAACAGACUGUCUGGGAGUAUCUUUUGAGAAAAAGACAGCAUGUAAGAAACGUAAACCAGCCAAUCAUGCUGGGCCUUAAAAGUUAAGACUAUAUUUACUUUUCUGGAUAAUUGUCAGAAAGAUUGUUAAAAUAUAUAUAUUUUUUCUAUACAGGCCAGUUAUUUACAUAAGAUAUCCACCAACAUAUUAUUCUCCUACUCAUUCUACAAUGGGAGUUGACACCUUUCCUAAGUGGAUAGAUUGUGCAAAUGUGUUGCCAGUGUGACAGAAGAUAUCUAGAAAUAAUGGAUAUAUUUUACACUGGUCUCCCAGAAUAGACAAAGCUGAUUAUGCAAGGAUGCCACACACCUGGAAGUUUACUGGUAAUA